rnacentral:rRNA from 1 species
GACGAACGCUGGCGGCGUGCUUAACACAUGCAAGUCGAGCGGUAAGGCCCUUUCGGGGUACGACGAGCGGCGAACGGGUGAGUAACACGUGGGUGACCUGCCCUUACGCUCUGGGAGUAAGCCUGGGAAACUGGGUCGUAAUACCGGAUAUGACUCCAUGACGCAUGUUGUGGGGUGGAAAGCCUUGUGCGGCUAGGGAUGGCCCGCGCCUAUCAGCUUGUUGGUGGGGUGAUGGCCACCAAGGCGACGACGGGUAGCCGGCCUGAGAGGGCGACCGGCCAC